GACUAGACCGGCCCAGUCCUACGAGCACGAUAGGAAUCUCCCAUUGACGAUAGUCGACGGAGCACCCGCUGAGUAUGAAGUUUCGAUCGUAACUCCUUGUUAGGAGAACAAGUACCGGUCGAUCGGCGUACCUUGACCGUACCUACCCAGAAAGCCACGGCCUACUACGUGCAGCAGCGCGUAAUACGUAGGUGGCAGCCGUUGUCCGGAAUUAUUGGCCGUAAGCGGCGCGCAGGCGGUUUCUUAAGUCUGAUGUGAAAGCCCCCGGCUCAACCCGGGGAGGGUCAUUGGAACUGGGAACUUGAGGUGCAGAAGAGGAGAGUGGAAAUUCACGUGUAGCGGUGAAAUGCGUAGAGAUGUGGAGGAACACCAGUGGCGAAGGCGACUCUCUGGUCUGUAACUGACGCUGAGGCGCGAAAGCGUGGGGAGCGAACAGGAUUAGAUACCCUGGUAGUCCACGCCGUAAACGAUGAGUGCUAAGUGUUAGAGGGUUUCCGCCCUUUAGUGCUGCAGCAAACGCAUUAAGCACUCCGCCUGGGGAGUACGGUCGCAAGACUGAAACUCAAAGGAAUUGACGGGGGCCCGCACAAGCGGUGGAGCAUGUGGUUUAAUUCGAAGCAACGCGAAGAACCUUACCAGGUCUUGACAUCCUCUGACAACCCUAGAGAUAGGGCUUCCCCUUCGGGGGCAGAGUGACAGGUGGUGCAUGGUUGUCGUCAGCUCGUGUCGUGAGAUGUUGGGUUAAGUCCCGCAACGAGCGCAACCCUUGAUCUUAGUUGCCAGCAUUCAGUUGGGCACU
rnacentral:rRNA from 1 species